UACGGGGGGAGCAAGCGUUGUUCGGAUUUACUGGGCGUAAAGGGCGCGUAGGCGGUCGUGACAAGUCACUUGUGAAAUCUCCGGGCUUAACUCGGAACGGUCAAGUGAUACUGUCGGACUAGAGUACAGAAGGGGCAACUGGAAUUCCGUGGUGAGCGGCUGGUAAAGUGAACUGGUCGAUGAAGUAAUUACGUCGAAGGAAGGGAA
rnacentral:rRNA from 1 species